rnacentral:tRNA from 1 species
ACUCGGGUAGCUCAGUCAGUAGGGCAUCAGAUUUCAAUCUGAGGGUCCAGGGUUCAAGUCUCUGUUUGGGCG